AAGCUAUUGUGUGGACAAUCUUGCACCAGUCACUUAAACCUCACCUAGGCAUCACUGAGCAAUUCGUCAAUAUCUUGUUCAAAAUUAGUGAUCAACUUCCUUCGUCU